UCCCUGGUGGUCCAGUGGUUAGGACUCUGCACUUCUGCUGCAGGGGGCACAGGCUCGAUCCCUGGUCAGGGAA